UUUUUUUGUAUUUUAAAAAAAUAAUUUUUAUUUUUAUUUUUCAAAUACAUUUUUAAAAAAUAAAAAAUAAAAACAAAAAAUAUUUUCUCAAACCAAUCGAUCUGACCUUUUAGAAUGAAAAAAUAAAACUACGACUAAUCGUGCCUCACUGAACAUUCAUUUGAACCUAGACGGUGACUUUUGGGUUAUAUUGCAUCUUGUUAGGAAAAUGGGGUCCAGUCCCAUGUAAGUGGUUUUGGACCAAGUAAAGGCCAUGGGCCUUGAUCUUUUAUUUUACACAGAGCCCUAGCUACUUAAUAAAAAAGAGGUGGGGUUGUUUAAGGUGUGUGUCGACAACCAAGCAGAGAAAGAAGAAAAGCCAGGAAAAGCAGAGAGAGAAAAAAGAGAAGGGAGAGUUGGUUAAACGGAAGUCGAUCCGUGGUCCGAUUGAGUUGAAACCUUGUCAGGAGGUUUAUGAUUUAGAGUUAUACAUUCUGAACGGUGAAGAUCGGGUUUGAAGCUAUCUAGGAACAAAUCCAGGGUGUAUUUGUUGAGUCACUUAUUUGGUGAGAUUUCUCCAAUUGUUUCUCUAGUUGUUGAUUAGCUCUAGUUUUAGCUAGAGAAGAACUUUGUAUAACUAUUAUUUGAUAGUGAAGAUUUUUCUGGUGGCCCGUGGUUUUUUUCCUCUACACUGGAGGGUUUUUCCACGUAAAUCUUGGUGUGCUUUAUUUUUCCUGCGCAUUUGAUUAUUGAUUGUUGUCUAUUGCUUCUGUAUUGUUGUGAUUAUUGCUUCAGGCACAACAAGUGGUAUCAGAGCGAGAGUUAUUUUGAGACAUCGAUACAGAAGUAACCCAGGAUAGAAGUAAAUUCUGUUUGAGAUCAUGAAAGGUGAUACAGGUUCCAUGCUAAAAUUGACAGCAUCAAAUUAUUCAAUUUGGAAGCCUAUGAUGGAGGAUCAUCUAUACUGCAAAGAUUUGUAUGAGCCAGUAUUGGGUGAUUCGGCUAAACCAGCAGAUAUGAAAGAUGAAAGCUGGAAGAAGCUAGGUAGAAAGACGCUGGCUACAAUCAGAAAAUGGGUUGAUAUCAGCGUGUUUCAUCAUGUAGCGCAGGAGUCAGAUGCUCACAUUGUUUGAGAAAAAUUGGCAGCAUUGUAUGAGAGAAAAACAGGUAUGAAUAAAGUUAUGCUUGUUAAGAAGAUUGCAACUUUACAGUACAGGGAUGGACGAUCUGUUACAGAGCACUUGAGUAAUUUUCAAGAUAUAUUUAAUCGGAUGACUACUAUGGAACUUAAGAUGGAUGAUAAAAUGAAGGCAUUAUUUCUUUUGGGUUCAUUAUCAGACAGCUGAAAUACUCUAGUUGUGACUGUUCUUAAUUCAGCUCCUGAUUAUAAGGUGACAUUGGAGAUGGUAAAUGACAGUAUGCUUAAUGAAGAAGCGAGGCGAAAAGAUGUAGACCCUGAGAAUCAAGCUCUGGUCACAGAGAACAGGGGUAGAAACAUCGACAGAGGUCAAGACUCAAAAGGUCGUGAUAAAUCUAAACAUAAAUCCAAGUCUAGAGGUAAAGUGAAGUGUUUCUAUUGUGGUAAGACGGGUCAUAUAAAACGAAACUGUAGAAUCUUAAAGCAAGAGCGAAAAGAUGAGAAAGACAAGAGUUCAGAUAAUGGCAAUGUUGCAGCAGUGAAUUCAGAUAGUGAUUCAGUUACUUUGAUUUGUACACAUGGUGAUUGUAAUCAUGUUAGUGAUCCCGGCAUUGAGUGGAUAGUUGACACAGGAGCGACAUAUCAUUGUGUUCCUAAGAGAGAGUUGUUUACAACUUACAAAGCAGGAGACUUUGGUUGUACCAAGAUGGGAAACAAGAGUGUGUCACAAAUUGUUGGGAUUGGUGAUAUUGUUGUACAAACUAGUACAGGCUGCAUGUUGACUUUGAGGGAUGUCAGACACAUUCCAGAUAUGAGAAUGAACUUGCUUGCUAUUAAUGUCCUUGAUAAGGAGGGAUAUGAAAGUCGACAAAAGAAUGGACAGUGGAAGCUUCUCAAAGGAUCUAUGGUAGUUGCAAGGGGAAAACUAUGCUGCACAAUGUAUAAGACAUGGAUGCAAUUGAACGAUAACCAGGUAAAUACCGUUGAAAAUGAUGCUUCAGCAAACUUGUGGCACAGGAGGCUGGCACACAUGAGUGAAAAAGGGUUACAAGUUUUGGCAAGGCACUCUCUCAUUCCCUUGACCAAAGGUAUGUAUCUCGAUUCAUGUGAUUAUUGUUUGUUUGGUAAGCAUCAUAGAGUUUCUUUUCGUAAAAGUUCUCAGAGAAAAGAAAAUAGAUUGGAAUUAAUUUAUUCUGACGUAUGUGGUCCUAUUGAGGUUGAGUCAUUAGGUGGUAGCAGAUAUUUUGUUACUUUUAUUGAUGAUGCUUCACGUAAGACUUGGGUGUAUAUGUUGAAAUAUAAAAGUCAGGUACUGCAGUAUUUUCAAAAAUUUCAUGCCAUGGUUGAAAGGAUGACAGGGUUACCCUUGAAGUGUAUUCGAACUGAUAAUGGUGGGGAAUACACAUAUAAAAGCUUUGAAGAGUAUUGCUCAAAGCAUGGGAUCAGGCAUGAGAGGACAGAACCUGGAACACCGCAGCAUAAUGGUAUAGCUGAAAGAAUGAAUCGCACCAUUGUGGAAAAAGUCAGAUGUAUGUUGAGGAUGGCAAAAUUACCAAAGCCAUUCUAGGGUGAAGCAGUCAACACAGCUUGUUAUUUACUUAACAGGUCACCAUCAGUUCCUUUGGGCUUUGACAUUCCAGAAAGAGUGUGGACAGGAAAAGAUGCUUCAUACUCUCACUUGAAAAUUUUUGGGUGUAAAGCAUUCAUGCAUGUGCCGAAAGAGCAGAGAUCAAAGCUUGACAGUAAAGCUACACAGUGUGUGUUUGUAGGAUAUGGUGAUGAGGAAUUUGGCUACAGGGUAUGGGAUCCAGUAAAGAGAAAGACAGUCAGAAGCAGAGAUGUGAUCUUUCAUGAAAAAGAAACCAUAGCAGACCUUGAGAAAAAUGAGAAGACUACACGAGUUACUAUUGAGUGUGAUGUUUCAACACCGAUAGGAAUUUCACAGGAAAGAGCCACAGAUGGUGAAAAUGAGCCAGAAACAGAACUUGGGGAUAUGGAUGAGCCAGCUACAGUUGGUGAUGAGCCAGAUGCUAUUAGUUUUGAGCAGGGGGAGCAAUCCUUUCUACCUGAGAGUGUUGAGCAGGGAGAGUUACCUUCGGCAUCAAGUGAUGUAGAGUCUCAGCCUAGGAGAUCUACUAGAGAGCGCAGGCCAUCUACCAGGUAUCCAAGUUCAGAUUUUAUUUUAGUUACCAGUAAAGGGGAGCCAGAAAACUUUCAAGAUGUGCAGGCUACUCCGGAUAGAGAGCAUUGGUUAAAAGCAAUGAAAGAAGAGAUGGAGUCAUUGCGAAAGAAUGGUACUUAUGAUCUUGUUAAACUUCCAACAGGAAAGAGGCCAUUAAAGAAUAAAUGGGUGUUUAAGUUGAAAAAAGAUGGUGACAAACUAGUGAAGUACAAAGCUCGAUUGGUAGUAAAAGGUUUUUCUCAGAAACCAGACAUCGAUUUUGAUGAGAUUUUUGCUCCAGUUGUAAAAAUGAGUUCUAUUCGAGUGGUACUGGGAUUGGCAGCUAGUUUGAAUCUUGAGCUUGAGCAACUUGAUGUUAAAACUGCAUUUUUGCAUGGUGAUUUGUAGGAGGACAUUUAUAUGAAUCAGCCUGAGGGUUUUGAAGUGAAAGGGAAAGAGCACUUAGUUUGCAAAUUGAAGAAAAGCUUGUAUGGCUUGAAACAAGCUCCGCGACAGUGGUACACAAAGUUUGAUUCUUUUAUGGUGAGUCAUAGCUAUAAAAGAAUAGCAGCAGAUUCUUGUGUGUAUAUUAAACAAUUCCCUAAUGGUAACUUCAUUAUCCUAUUAUUAUAUGUUGAUGAUAUGUUGAUUGUAGGACAAGAUGCUAGUAUGGUUUGCAGGUUGAAAGAACAAUUGUCUAAGUCCUUUGAUAUGAAGGAUUUAGGUCCAGCAAAACAGAUUCUUGGUAUGGACAUUAUCCGAGAUAGGAGAGCUGGAAAGCUGUGGUUGUCACAGGAAAAGUAUGUUGAACGAGUGCUUGGUAGAUUCAACAUACAACAUGCUAAAUCAGUUAGCAGUUCACUUGCCAACCAUUUUCAUCUAAGUAAGAAAUCUUGUCCAGUGUCUAAGGAAGAGCAACUAACUAUGUCUAGUAUUCCUUAUUCUUCUGCAGUCGGUUCUUUAAUGUAUCUUAUGGUUUGUACAAGGCCUGACAUUGCUCAUGCAGUUGGUGUAGUGAGCAGAUUUCUUUCUAAUCCAGGAAAGGUUCACUGGGAAGCAGUGAAAUAGAUUUUUAGAUAUUUGAGGGGUACCUCAAAAAUGUGCUUGACUUAUGGAGUUUCACAACCAGUUCUAGAAGAGUUUACUAAUGCUGACAUGACAGACGAUCUUGAUGGUAGGAAAUCUACUUCAGGGUAUUUGUUCACUUUUACAGGAGGAGUUGUAUCUUGACAAUCUAAGUUACAGAAGUGUGUUGCUUUGUCAACUACAGAGGCUGAGUAUAUUGCAGCAACUGAAGCAUGUAAAGAAAUGCUUUGGAUGAAACGUUUUCUUCUUGAAUUAGGGUUGAAUCAGAAAGAGUAUGUGGUAUUUUGUGAUAGCCAGAGUGCUUUAGAUUUGAGUAAGAAUACCAUGUACCAUGCUAGAACAAAGCACAUUGAUGUUAGAUAUCAUUGGUUACGUUCAGUGAUUGAAGAACAGCAGAUGCUAUUGAAGAAAGUCCAUACUGAUAAAAAUGUGCCAGAUAUGUUGACUAAGAUACUUCCCAAGAAAAAGCUUGAGCUUUGCAGUAACUUGGCCGGAAUGAGUUCUCUGGCCAAGGUAAGUUCCAAAUGAAACUGCUAUGGUGAUGAAUCUCCUCCUAAUGGGGCUGGAGGGGGAGAUUGUUAGGAAAAUGGGGUCCAGUCCCAUGUAAAUGGUUUUGGACCAAGUAAAGGCAAUGGGCCUUGAUCUUUUAUUUUACACAGAGCCCUAGCUACUUAAUAAAAAAGAGGUGGGGUUGUUUAAGGUGUGUGUCGACAACCAAGCAGAGAAAGAAGAAAAGCCAGGAAAAGCAGAGAGAGAAAAAGGAGAAGGGAGAGUUGAUUAAACGGAAGUCGAUCCGUGGUCCGAUUGAGUUGGAACCUUGCCAGGAGGUUUAUGAUUCAUAGUUAUACAUUCUGAACGGUGAAGAUCGGGUUUGAAGCUCUCUAGGAACAAAUCCAGGGUGUAUUUGUUGAGUCACUUAUUUGGUGAGAUUUCUCCAAUUGUUUCUCUAGUUGUUGAUUAGCUCUAGUUUUAGCUAGAGAAGAACUUUGUAUAAUUAUUAUUUGAUAGUGAAGAUUUUUCUGGUGACCCGUGGUUUUUUCCCUCUACACUGGAGGGUUUUCCAUGUAAAUCUUGGUGUGCUUUAUUUUUCCUGUGCAUUUGAUUAUUGAUUGUUGUCUAUUGCUUAUGUAUUGUUGUGAUUAUUGCUUCUGGCGCAACACAUCUAACUAGAGGUGAGAUUGAAACCAAAUCCAUCCUACAUCAGCUCACUUGUAAUUCAGGACGUGAAACUUUUUUUCAAAUAUUGUAUAUAUUACCUUUUAUUUUAGAUUAAAUUUCAUCAAUAUUUAACAUUAUUCUAUUUUGAUUAAAAUAUUUUUUAUUAAUUAAUGGAGCCCGUAUUUUAUUAUAGGAGUCACCCAAACCUUAAAACAAAAGUGAAAUUACGCCAAAAAUCUCUACACUUUGUCAAAAUUUGAAAGUUAGUUAUUCUAUUAAAAUUCAUAUAAAUUUAUUUUUUUUAUAUUAUUUUAAUUUGAUAAUUUUAAUUCAAUAAUUAAUUUCAUUAAUUUUUUAUUGUUAAAAAUGCUGACAUACCGUUGACUGACAUGAAUGUUCUUUUUACUGACAUGAUGACUUUAUUGAUGUGGUAAUUUAGAUAAGUAAAAUUAGUUAUCAAUUUAUGCAAAUAAUUCAUGUAUUUACAUGAAAUUUAAACUUUAGUCUAUCUAGUAUAAUUUUAUAAAAAUUUCAUUCUUGUACAAGAUGAAUUUGAUAAUAUUGGUUCAAUUAUUAAUAAAAAAAAAGAUAUAUUUUUUUACCUUUUUUUUUAAAUCAUAUUUUAAUUUUUUAGAAAUUUUUUCAAAAUUUU
rnacentral:lncRNA from 1 species